CCUACGGGGGGCUGCAGUCGAGAAUAUUCCGCAAUGGACGAAAGUCUGACGGAGCAAUACCGCGUGUAGGAUGACGGCCUUCGGGUUGUAAACUACUUUUCUAUAGGAGCAAGUACGCUGAGAGUACUAUGGGAAUAAGGGGUUACUAACUCUGUGCCAGCAGUAGCGGUAAUACAGAGACCCCAAGCAUUAUCCGGAUUUAUUGGGCGUAAAGAGUGUGUAGGCGGCUUCAUUUGUCAGUUGUUAAAGCCGGUGGCUCAACCAUCGACCAGCAAUUGAAACGGUGGAGCUAGAGGACGUGAGAGAUCAGUGGAAUUCAUGGUGUAGUAGUGAAAUGCGUUGAUAUCAUGAGGAACAUCCAAGGCGAAGGCAGCUGAUUGGCACGUAUCUGACGCUCUGGCACGAAAGCGUGGGUAGCGAAUGGGCUUAGAUACCCCUGUAGUC
rnacentral:rRNA from 1 species